UACGGAGGGGGCUAGCGUUGUUCGGAAUUACUGGGCGUAAAGCGCACGUAGGCGGCUUUGUAAGUUAGAGGUGAAAGCCCGGGGCUCAACUCCGGAACUGCCUUUAAGACUGCAUCGCUUGAAUCCGGGAGAGGUGAGUGGAAUUGCGAGUGUAGAGGUGAAAUUCGUAGAUAUUCGCAAGAACACCAGUGGCGAAGGCGGCUCACUGGCCCGGAACUGACGCUGAGACGCGAAAGCGUGGGGAGCAAACAGG
rnacentral:rRNA from 1 species